rnacentral:rRNA from 1 species
CCUACGUGGGGCAGCAGUGGGGGAUAUUGCACAAUGGGGGGAACCCUGAUGCAGCGACGCCGCGUGGGUGAAGGAGCGUUUCGGCGCGUAACGCCCUAUCGGCAGGGAAGAAGAAGGACGGUACCUGACUAAGAAGCCCCGGCUAACUACGUGCCAGCAGCCGCGGUAAUACGUAGGGGGCAAGCGUUAUCCGGAUUUAUUGGGUUUAAAGGGUGCGUAGGCGGGCUUUUAAGUCAGCGGUAAAAAUGCGGGGCUCAACCCCGUCCGGCCGUUGAAACUGGGGGCCGUGAGUGGGCGAGAAGAAGGCGGAAUGCGUGGUGUAGCGGUGAAAUGCAUAGAUAUCACGCAGAACCCCGAUUGCGAAGGCAGCCUUCCGGCGCCCUACUGACGCUGAGGCACGAAAGUGCGGGGAUCGAACAGGAUUAGAUACCCCUGUAGUC